GACCAAGUGACAUUGCAAAAAAUAACACAUUUAAACCAGUUUAUUGAAUUUUCAUCACUCUGAGUUGGGUUGUUUCAUCUCAAGAGUGGUUUCAUCUCAUGCUGGUUGUUCUUGUUUGAAAUCUCACUUGGUCUCGGUCACAGCCUGACUGGAGGAGAUCACUUUGCCGUCUUUCACCUCCUCUAUAAUGGUGACCACUUUGCGUGUAGUUGAGGUUGUGGAUGAGGAUUGUGUGGUUUGAACACUUC